GACUCUGGUGAUCUGGAAAAGCGCAAUUCUGGCCCAUUAUUAUCACAUAACCGCUAGCCAGCAACUGUGAAAAAAGUGACGAAAUAUUAUUGAAAUUUAAAAAAUAAAUGGCAUCCAAAAACACUCUCACUUUUUAGAGAGUCAAAGGUUACCAUCUUCUUACAGGGGCUGGAUAAAAAUAUGGAAAGACCGUGCCUGCCUACUACUACGCUUUUGGAUUCGUGACAUAGGAGUCGUGGAUUCUCGAGAUGGUGAUAUUUGAUCGUAAAUUUCUCUAGUACUUGUGGAUGUCACUUCCUUAGUUUUGAAUGAUGGAACGGAUUCUGAAAAAAUAAAUAAAUAAAUAAAUAAAUGUUAAAAAUCA